GAAAUGCGAUAAGUAAUGUGAAUUGCAGAAUUCAGUGAAUCAUCGAAUCUUUGAACGCACCUUGCGCUCCUUGGUAUUCCUUGGCGCAUGCCUGUUUGAGUAUCAUGAAAUCUUCAAAGUAAAUCUUUUGUUAACUCAAUUGGUUUCUACUUUGGUAUUGGAGGUCUUUGCAGCUUCACACCUGCUCCUCUUUGUUCAUUAGCUGGAUCUCAGUGUUAUGCUUGGUUCCACUCGGCGUGAUAAGUUAUCUAUCGCUGAGGACACUGUAAAAGGUGGCCAAGGUAAAUGCAGAUGAACCGCUUCUAAUAGUCCAUUGACUUGGACAAUACUUUUAUGAUCUGAUCUCAAAUCAGGUAGGACUACCCGCUGAACUUAAGC
rnacentral:misc_RNA from 1 species